UACGUAGGUCCCGAGCGUUGUUCGGAUUUAUUGGGCGUAAAGCGAGCGCAGGUGGUUUAUUAAGUCUGGUGUAAAAGGCAGUGGCUCAACCAUUGUAUGCAUUGGAAACUGGUAGACUUGAGUGCAGGAGAGGAGAGUGGAAUUCCAUGUGUAGCGGUGAAAUGCGUAGAGAUUAGGAAGAACACCAGUGGCGAAGGCGAUUCUCUGGACUGUAACUGACGCUGAGGCUCGAAAGCGUGGGGAGCAAACAGG
rnacentral:rRNA from 1 species